rnacentral:rRNA from 1 species
CCUACGGGGGGCAGCAGUGAGGAAUAUUGGUCAAUGGUCGGAAGACUGAACCAGCCAUGCCGCGUGCAGGAAGAAUGCCUUAUGGGUUGUAAACUGCUUUUAUAUGGGAAGAAUAAGGUGUACGUGUACAUUGAUGACGGUACCAUAUGAAUAAGCAUCGGCUAACUCCGUACCAGCAGCCGCGGUAAUACGGAGGAUGCGAGCGUUAUUCGGAAUCAUUGGGUUUAAAGGGUCUGUAGGCGGGCUAUUAAGUCAGGUGUGAAAGGUUUCAGCUUAACUGAGAAAUUGCCUUUGAUACUGGUAGUCUUGAAUAUCUGUGAAGUUCGUGGAAUGUGUAGUGUAGCGGUGAAAUGCUUAGAUAUUACACAGAACACCGAUUGCGGAGGCAGGGGACUAACAGACGAUUGACGCUGAGGGACGAAAGCGUGGGGAGCGAACAGGAUUAGAUACCCGGGUAGUC